rnacentral:rRNA from 1 species
AUUGAACGCUGGCGGCAUGCUUUACACAUGCAAGUCGAGCGGCAGCGCGGGGGCAACCCUGGCGGCGAGCGGCGAACGGGUGAGGAAUACAUCGGAACGUGCCCCGGAGUGGGGGAUAACGCCGCGAAAGCGGCGCUAAUACCGCAUAUGCUCUGAGGAGGAAAGCGGGGGACCUGUGAGGGCCUCGCGCUCUGGGAGCGGCCGAUGUCCGAUUAGCUAGUUGGUGGGGUAAAGGCCUACCAAGGCGACGAUCGGUAGCUGGUCUGAGAGGAUGAUCAGCCACACUGGGACUGAGACACGGCCCAGACUCCUACGGGAGGCAGCAGUGGGGAAUUUUGGACAAUGGGGGCAACCCUGAUCCAGCCAUGCCGCGUGCGGGAAGAAGGCCUUCGGGUUGUAAACUGCUUUUGUACGGAACGAAACGGUCUGGGUUAAUACCCUGGGCUAAUGACGGUACCGUAAGAAUAAGCACCGGCUAACUACGUGCCAGCCGCCGCCGUAACAC